AGAGUUUGAUCCUGGCUCAGGAUGAACGCUAGCGGCAGGCUUAAUACAUGCAAGUCGAGGGGCAGCACGGGUAGCAAUACCUGGUGGCGACCGGCGCACGGGUGCGUAACGCGUAUGUAAUCUACCAUUAACCGGGGAAUAGCCCAGAGAAAUCUGGAUUAAUGCCCCAUAGUAUUAUCGAAAGGCAUCUUUUGAUAAUUAAAGCUCAGGCGGUUUUUGAUGAACAUGCGUGUCAUUAGUUUGUUGGUGAGGUAACGGCUCACCAAGACUACGAUGACUAGGGGGUCUGAGAGGAUGAUCCCCCACACUGGUACUGAGACACGGACCAGACUCCUACGGGAGGCAGCAGUAAGGAAUAUUGGGCAAUGGAGGCAACUCUGACCCAGCCAUGCCGCGUGAAGGAUGACGGCCCUAUGGGUUGUAAACUGCUUUUAUACACCAAGAAAAACAUCCACGUGUGGGUGCCCGACGGUAGUGUAUGAAUAAGCAUCGGCUAACUCCGUGCCAGCAGCCGCGGUAAUACGGAGGAUGCAAGCGUUAUCCGGAUUCAUUGGGUUUAAAGGGUGCGUAGGCGGCUUUUUAAGUCAGUGGUGAAAUCCUGCCGCUUAACGGUAGAAUUGCCAUUGAUACUGAAAAGCUUGAGUACAUUUGAGGUAAGCGGAAUGUGUAGUGUAGCGGUGAAAUGCUUAGAUAUUACACAGAACACCAAUUGCGAAGGCAGCUUACUAAACUGAUACUGACGCUGAUGCACGAAAGCGUGGGGAGCGAACAGGAUUAGAUACCCUGGUAGUCCACGCCGUAAACGAUGCUCACUCGCUGUUUGCGAUACACAGCAAGCGGCCAAGCGAAAGCAUUAAGUGAGCCACCUGGGGAGUACGAUCGCAAGGUUGAAACUCAAAGGAAUUGACGGGGGCCCGCACAAGCGGAGGAACAUGUGGUUUAAUUCGAUGAUACGCGAGGAACCUUACCUGGGCUUAAAUGUAGAGCGACAGAUUGUGAAAGCAGUCCUUCUUCGGACGAUCUACAAGGUGCUGCAUGGUUGUCGUCAGCUCGUGCCGUGAGGUGUCGGGUUAAGUCCCAUAACGAGCGCAACCCUUAUCGUUAGUUGCCAGCGGAUCAUGCCGGGGACUCUAGCGAGACUGCCACCGUAAGGUGUGAGGAAGGUGGGGAUGACGUCAAAUCAGCACGGCCCUUAUGUCCAGGGCUACACACGUGUUACAAUGGCCGAUACAAAGGGCAGCUACCAGGUGACUGGAUGCUAAUCUCCAAAGUCGGUCUCAGUUCGGAUCGAAGUCUGCAACCCGACUUCGUGAAGCUGGAUUCGCUAGUAAUCGCAUAUCAGCCAUGAUGCGGUGAAUACGUUCCCGGGCCUUGUACACACCGCCCGUCAAACAAUGGAAGCUGGGGGUACCUGAAGUCUGUAACCGCAAGGAGCGGCCUAGGGUAAAACUAGUAACUGGUGUUAAGUCGUAACAAGGUAACC
rnacentral:rRNA from 1 species